GCGGCAUGCCUUACACAUGCAAGUCGAACGGCAGCACGGGUGCUUGCACCUGGUGGCGAGUGGCGAACGGGUGAGUAAUAUAUCGGAACGUACCUUAUCGUGGGGGAUAACGCAGCGAAAGCUGCGCUAAUACCGCAUACGCCCUGAGGGGGAAAGCGGGGGACCGUAAGGCCUCGCGCGAUUAGAGCGGCCGAUAUCUGAUUAGCUUGUUGGUGGGGUAAAAGCCCACCAAGGCGACGAUCAGUAGCUGGUCUGAGAGGACGAUCAGCCACACUGGGACUGAGACACGGCCCAGACUCCUACGGGAGGCAGCAGUGGGGAAUUUUGGACAAUGGGGGCAACCCUGAUCCAGCAAUGCCGCGUGAGUGAAGAAGGCCUUCGGGUUGUAAAGCUCUUUUGUCAGGGAAGAAACAGCAGCUCUAACACAGUCUGCGAAUGACGGUACCUGAAGAAUAAGCACCGGCUAACUACGUGCCAGCAGCCGCGGUAAUACGUAGGGUGCAAGCGUUAAUCGGAAUUACUGGGCGUAAAGCGUGCGCAGGCGGUUAUACAAGACAGGCGUGAAAUCCCCGGGCUUAACCUGGGGAAUGGCGUCUGUGACUGUAUGACUAGAGUGUGUCAGAGGGGGGUAGAAUUCCACGUGUAGCAGUGAAAUGCGUAGAUAUGUGGNAGGAAUACCAAUGGCGAAGGCAGCCCCCUGGGAUAACACUGACGCUCAUGCACGAAAGCGUGGGGAGCAAACAGGGAUUAGAUACCCUGGUAGUCCACGCCCUAAACGAUGCCGACUAGUUGUUGGGAA
rnacentral:rRNA from 1 species